UCUUCGGAGAUGAGGGUGGUCGCUGAUCCCGGACGAGCCCCCAAAUGAAAGACCCCCCGGAGCGGGGAGACCCUCACUCAAGUCUCAGGAUGAUGCGACCCCCCAAGAACUCACGUGAGACC
rnacentral:pre_miRNA from 14 species